rnacentral:tRNA from 1 species
GUUUAAAUAGCAAAAAAGUAAUGCCGUAGAUUUAGGAUCCACUAUUAUAGGUGCAACUCCUUUUUUAAACU